rnacentral:tRNA from 1 species
CUUCUCAUGGUGUAGUGGUAACGCACCUGUCUUGUGAAUAGGAGUUGUGAGUUCAAGCCUCACAGAGUACA